AACGAAGGGGGCUAGCGUUGCUCGGAAUCACUGGGCGUAAAGCGCACGUAGGCGGCUUUUUAAGUCAGGGGUGAAAUCCUGGAGCUCAACUCCGGAACUGUCUUUGAUACUGAAGAGCUCGAGUCCGGAAGAGGUGAGUGGAGCUGCGAGUGUAGAGGUGAAAUUCGUAGAUAUUCGCAAGAACACCAGUGGCGAAGGCGGCUCACUGGUCCGGUACUGACGCUGAGGUGCGAAAGCGUGGGGAG
rnacentral:rRNA from 1 species